rnacentral:lncRNA from 1 species
UGAGGAGGUGUAAGGCAGCAUGCAUGUGAGAUGAUGAAGGCUUCUGAAGGAACUGACUGAGAUGUUGCACAGCAAAGGCCAAAUCAGGUCUGGUGUGAGUGAGGAAAUUGAGUUUCCCCACCAGGCUCCUAUAAGACUCAGGGGAGGAAGAGGAGCACCUUCAUCCUGUUUGAGCUUGACAGAGAGGUCAAGAGGGCAGAUAACAGGGGUAACCUCCUCACAGUGAUAGGCAUGAAGAAGAUCAGAAAUAAACUUCUUUUGAUGAAGAAGCAGACCAUCAGAAUGAUAAGUGACUUCUAUGCCAAGGAAAUAAUUGAGGACACCCAAGUCCUUGAUCUUAAACUCAAGGUCCAGAAACCUUUUUAAAGCAGUGAUCUCCUCCAAAUCAUUGCCAGUCAGUAUAAUAUCGAAUACCUUGAUCUUAAACUCAAGGUCCAGAAACCUUUUUAAAGUAGUAAUCUCCUCCAAAUCGUUACCAGUCAGGAUAAUAUCAUCAACAUACACAGCCAACAAAACAAUAGAAGAAGCAGAUUUCUUAAAGAAGAGGGAAUAAUCAUUGAAGGAGGCAGAAUUGCCCCUGGAACAGAGGGCUUGAGACAGCUUGGCAUACCACUGCCUAGAAGCUUGUCUCAAUCCAUAUAAGGAUUUCUGAAGAAGACAGACCAAAGGAGAAGAAGAAGAGGAACAGGAAACAGAUAGCCCAGGAGGUAGUUUCAUAUAAACCUCUUCAUCCAAAUCACCAUGCAAGAAAACAUUAUUGACAUCAAGCUGAAAGUCAAAGGAGAAGAAGAAGAGGAACAGGAAAAAGAUAGCCCAGGAGGUAGUUUCAUAUAAACCUCUUCAUCCAAAUCACCAUGCAAGAAGGCAUUAUUGACGUCAAGCUGAAAAAGGGACCAGUUCUGCUUAACAGCUACAGUAAUGAGGGACUUAAUAGUGGAAAACUUGACAACAUGGGAAAAGGUUUCAUCGAAAUCUACUCCCUCAACUUGUGUGUCACCCCUAACUUUAUAUCUUUCCACAUAUCCAUCAGCUCUAUACUUGAUCUUAUACACCCAUUUGCAGCCAAUAGGUCUUUUACCAGGGGGAAGCUGAACUAUAGACCAAGUUUGAUUAGCCUCUAAAGCUGCAAAUUCCUUUGUCAUUGCCUCCUGCCAUGCAGAGAGACAUGCAGCCUGCUGGUAAGAAGUAGGCUCAACCUGUACACUGUUAACCAAAGUAUGAAGACAAGUGGAAGAAGAACUGGAGCCAGCAAGAGAAGGAGGGAGAUUGCAGACAUACUGCUGGAGAUGAGCAGGAGGAAUGUGAGUCCUGCUAGACCUUCUGGGAGCAGGAGUAGUGGCUACAGGAGGAGGAUGGUGCAAAGAAGGAGAAGGUGAGGAGGGAGAAAGAGGAGGUACAGAGGAGGAAAAAGGUGAAAAAGAAGGACUGGGCAAGGAAUCAUCAGUAGUAGGAAAGGGAACAGGAGAUGGAGUAAGAGUAGGAGGAGAAACAGAAGAGGAAUUCCCUGAAGAGGCAAAGGGAAAGACAUCUUCAUGAAAGACCACAUCUUUGGAGACUAGUGUCAGUUUAGUCUUCAAGUUGUACAGCUUGUACCCCUUUUUACCCAAAGGAUAUCCCAGAAAAACACAACUCCAGCAGAUAUCUGCUUUCAUUCAACCACACCAUUUUGUUGUGGUGUAUGAGAGCAAGAUGUUUGGGUGUAGGAUUCCAUUUUCAGCAAAGAAAUUGCAGCCAGAACUACUGGAUCCAAGUUCAAAAGCAUUGUCACUCCUAAUGGUUUGGACAACAGUCUAGAAUUGGGUUUUGUUCAUGGCAAUAAAAGCCUUGAUAAGAGGAAAGGCAUUGCUCUUGGACCCCAUAAGGUGAGUCCAGGUAGCUCUAGUAAAGUCAUCAACUAUUGUUAGAAAAUAUUUACAACCAUUAUUAGUGGAAGUGGCAUAAGGACCCCAGGUAUCUACAUGAAUGAGUUGAAAAGCAUGUGUUGUCUUAACAGAACUGUCAUGAAAUGACAGUCUAGAUUGUCUAGCUAACAGAAAAUAUUUACAACCAUUAUGAGUGGGAGUGGCAUAGGGACCCCAGUAUCUACAUGAAUAAGUUGGAAAGCAUGUGUUGUCUUAAUAGAACUGUCAUGAAAUGCCAGUCUGGAUUGUCUAGCUAAUGGGCAAAUAGUGCAUAUGAAAGGUUGUUUAUUUGCAAAUUUGCAUGGAAUUGAAGGAAUGUCCUUCAUUCUGAUAAAAGGUAUAUGUCCUAGUCUAUUAUGCCAUAAAAUCUCCAUUUUAUUCAAUUCAGAAUGGUAUGUACAAUGAGAGGAAGAAACAGAAUCAAUAGCUAAUGGAGAAUGGUUUUUGCAAGGAGUAUGAGAUUGAAUAGAAGAAGAAGAAGAAGAAGA